rnacentral:lncRNA from 1 species
CCCAUUUACUGAUCCCAUGCCAGUUUCUCUGAUCUACCUGCAGUCACUUGGAUUAAUGCAAUAUUAGUUCUUCUAGUUGAGACGUCAGUAAUUGCAUUCAAUGAAAGCCCAUUAUGUAAUGGAGACUUGAAAAGUUCAGGGAUAAAUUAGACCAGAUGUUUUGGACAUGGUUUUGAUCAAUGCUCAUUAUUACUCCUUAAAGAUGUAACUAAAGCUUUGGCUUCAUGGACAGAUAAUUCAGUGUAACUGCAAGCUGCCCUGGAAACUAAGAAGCAGAUAAGUAGACCUCUGCUUUAGCAACAUUUAACAAAUGUCAUUUUUAAUUGGUGAUACACUCUGUAUUCUUUAAUGAGUGACACUAACAAUUCAGGCUCAUGUAAUUGGGAAUGGUUAUUUGAUUGCUGUGAAAUAGUGGGGCUCAAUUAUGCUGUCAUGAGGAAUAUAAUAAAAAGCAAGUUAGUGUCCACAGAAGCUGCAAGAAAGUAUGAGAUGGCAAGAACACUGCUAAUAGGGCCUGUCUCUGUUGUUAUACAAUGCAUUUGUAUUCACCCGAGACUGAGUUUAACAGGAAGUCUUUCCAGGGAUUCUUUCCUCAGAGAUGACAAAUGCAUUCACUUUGAGAAAUAGGGGCUGGUCCUCCUAAACAGGCUGGUGGUUCAGCCUAAUGGUCUGGUCCAUCCACAUCCUGAGCAUCCAAAUUCUGUUAAAAUUAUCUGGUUAGAGAUCAUACAGUGAGUAUCAAAGUUUACAUUUCAUUAAGUUGCAUGGUUUCAAAUCAUAUCAGAAUUUGGCUUUUUGCCUGAGCUACUACUUGCGUUUUUAUUGUUUAAUGAGUUGAUAAGUCUUCUUCCUAUCUGCUCAUUUUCUGAGUUUUAAAACAAAUGUUUUACUGUACAAUCUGUUGGUUUAAAUGAAAUUUGUACUGAGCAUUAAAAUCUAGUGGGAUGUUAUUUACAAAUUCCUCAGAUUUUCUGCCAGUAAUUGUCCUGUCAUGCUAACUGUGUGAUGACUUGCAUUACAGAAUUCAUCAGUAUUGUUGAUUUAGAUUCCUCCUGUGCAAUAUUAGUAUCCUAUACAUGGGUCCAAGAGGACAGCAAAGGAAGGUCAUCUCUUUUGCAUACCAGAGAUCAUGAUCAAUAGUGGAACAAGUUUGAAUAUUGCUUUACCAUCACCUUAGGGUACAGUAACACUGUGUUAGAAUAAAAAGUUCUCAAGAAACAAAACAAACCAACCAACCACCACCAACAAAAACAAACAAACAAACAAAAUCAGGAGAGCCAGCAAAAGUGUAAGAUACUUUCCACAAACUUUUAAUCUUUUCCUUAGUCACAGCUGAACAUUUUAGAAUCCAAGAUUUAUUAUAAUUGGAAACAAGGAGCUGUCUCAUUUCACUGACAUGAGAGGAAAAGUCUUAGUCACAAAGUGCUGUAGUGAUCAUUUCUAUUG